AUUGAACGCUGGCGGCAUGCCUUACACAUGCAAGUCGAACGGCAGCACGGGAGCAAUCCUGGUGGCGAGUGGCGAACGGGUGAGUAAUAUAUCGGAACGUGCCCAGUCGUGGGGAUAACGUAGCGAAAGCUACGCUAAUACCGCAUACGAUCUAUGGAUGAAAGCGGGGGAUCGCAAGACCUCGCGCGAUUGGAGCGGCCGAUAUCAGAUUAGGUAGUUGGUGAGGUAAAGGCUCACCAAGCCGACGAUCUGUAGCUGGUCUGAGAGGACGACCAGCCACACUGGGACUGAGACACGGCCCAGACUCCUACGGGAGGCAGCAGUGGGGAAUUUUUGGACAAUGGGCGCAAGCCUGAUCCAGCAAUGCCGCGUGCAGGAUGGAGGCCU
rnacentral:rRNA from 1 species